rnacentral:rRNA from 1 species
CGUCGGGUUAGCAAUAAUUCGGCGGUCCUAGUGGCGCACGGGUGAGUAACACGUGGGUAACCUGCCCUUGAGUUCGGGAUACCCCCUCGAAAGGGGGGCUAAUACCGGAUACGUUCCUCGGAUCGAAAGGUCUGGGGAGGAAAGGUGGCGCAAGCUGCCGCUCUUGGAGGGGCUCGCGGCCUAUCAGCUAGUUGGCGGGGUAAUGGCCCACCAAGGCGAUGACGGGUAGCUGGUCUGAGAGGACGACCAGCCACACGGGGACUGAGACACGGCCCCGACUCCUACGGGAGGCAGCAGUGGGGAAUUUUCCGCAAUGGGCGAAAGCCUGACGGAGUGACGCCGCGUGUGGGACGAAGGCCUUCGGGUCGUAAACCACUGUCAGUGGGAAAGAAGGGUGUCGGCGCGAUAACCGCCGGCAUUUGACGGUACCUGCAGAGGAAGCCCCGGCCAACUCUGUGCCAGCAGCCGCGGUAAGACAGAGGGGGCAAGCGUUGCUCGGAAUUACUGGGCGUAAAGGGCGCGUAGGCGGGAUGGCAAGUCGGUCGUGAAAUCCUUCGGCUCAACCGAAGAACGUCGAUCGAUACUGCUGUUCUAGAGGGUUGCAGAGGAGACUGGAAUUCCCGGUGUAGCGGUGAAAUGUGUAGAGAUCGGGAGGAACACCGGUGGCGA